rnacentral:rRNA from 2 species
UUAAUUGGGCGUUAAGUUGCAGGGUAUAGACCCGAAACCCGGUGAUCUAGCCAUGGGCAGGUUGAAGGUUGGGUAACACUAACUGGAGGACCGAACCGACUAAUGUUGAAAAAUUAGCGGAUGACCUGUGGCUGGGGGUGAAAGGCCAAUCAAACCGGGAGAUAGCUGGUUCUCCCCGAAAGCUAUUUAGGUAGCGCCUCGUGAAUUCAUCUCCGGGGGUAGAGCACUGUUUCGGCUAGGGGGCCAUCCCGGCUUACCAACCCGAUGCAAACUGCGAAUACCGGAGAAUGUUAUCACGGGAGACACACGGCGGGUGCUAACGUCCGUCGUGAAGAGGGAAACAACCCAGACCGCCAGCUAAGGUCCCAAAGUCAUGGUUAAGUGGGAAACGAUGUGGGAAGGCCCAGACAGCCAGGAUGUUGGCUUAGAAGCAGCCAUCAUUUAAAGAAAGCGUAAUAGCUCACUGGUCGAGUCGGCCUGCGCGGAAGAUGUAACGGGGCUAAACCAUG